UAAGACGUAGGAGGCGAGCGUUAUCCGGAUUUACUGGGCGUAAAGAGGGCGCAGGUGGUUCUUCAAGUCGGAUGUAAAAUCUCCCGGCUUAACUGGGAGGGACCAUUCGAUACUGUUGGACUAGAGGACAGCAGAGGGAGGUGGAAUUCCCGGUGUAGUGGUGAAAUGCGUAGAUAUCGGGAGGAACACCAGUGGCGAAGGCGGCCUCCUAGGCUGUUUCUGACGCUGAGGCCCGAAAGCGUGGGGAGCGAACAGGAUUAGAUACCCUGGUAGUCCACGCCGUAAACUAUGGACACUAGGUACAGGGAGUAUCGACCCUUUCUGCGCCGAAGCUAACGCGUUAAGUGUCCCGCCUGGGGACUACGGCCGCAAGGCUA
rnacentral:rRNA from 1 species